rnacentral:rRNA from 1 species
AUGGUGAUAGCUUUCAGGCUUUAUGAGGAUCUUGUAGAGAAUGAAGAAGCCUGCCAGCUCGAUAGAUAUCAGUCAUUUGAGAAAUCUGGAAGGAGAAGAUGGCUAUGGUCUCGCCUCAUUGCUCAGCCUUCUACCCAAUCACCAGUAAAGGGAUUAUAUCUCUAUGGAGGGGUCGGUACAGGGAAGACGAUGCUUAUGGACCUGUUCUAUGAGCAACUUCAUGGUAAUUUUGAGACAUUCCUAGAAGCAGUUGACAAGCUGUUGGCUCCAUUUACUGUCAAAGUUCAAACUUCCAACUGCCAGCUAAUUGGAGCAAAAAGCGAAUGCACUUUCAUGUUGAAUGUUCAUAGUCGUCUGCAGAUGCAUAAAGGUGUUUCAGACCCCCUUGAUAUGGUAGCAGCUGAGAUUUCAGAUGAAGCCAUAAUAUUAUGUCUUGAUGAGUUUAUGGUAACUGAUGUUGCUGAUGCUAUGAUACUGAACCGUCUGUUCAGACAUCUGUUCAGCAAAGGCGUUAUUCUAGUUUCGACUUCUAAUCGUGCUCCAGAUCAGCUAUACGAAGGUGUCUUGCAGCAAAACCUUUUCUUACCUUCCAUCGACACCUUGAAAGAAAGGUGCAUUGCACACCCCAUUGGCUCCGCGGUAGACUACCGUCAACUGGGUUCGGUCCCACUGGGAGCAAAUGGAUGUGCGUAUUUCCAGUUUGAAGAUCUUUGUGACAGACCUAUAGGCGCAGCAGACUAUUUCGGGCUAUUUAAGAAGUUUCACACCCUUGCAGUUGAAGGUGUCCCUAAGUUUGGAUAUCAUAACAGAACAGCUGCGUAUCGGUUUGUCACAUUGGUUGAUGUAAUGUACGAGAACAAGGCGAGGCUAUUAUGCACAGCUGAGGCCGAGCCGAUAGAGCUGUUUGAGAAAGUUGUGACGGUCGCCGAAGCACAAAAGAGUGCACCUAGAUCUUCACGCUCGCGCAAAAGUGACGAUCCCGAUCUCUGUGUGGACAAUGAGCUAGGAUUCGCAAAAGAUCGUACGAUUAGCAGGUUGACAGAGCUCAACAGCAGAGAAUACUUGGAGGACUUUGAAGCAAAAUGGCAACAUCCCCUGCACGCUGUAGAUAAUGGCGGCGAUGUCGUACUAGCAUAA